CCGUUUUCAUUUUCCUCUUUUCCACUUUUGGAGACCUCAGCUUCAGUCCUGCCAGUACUGGUCCUCAGAGGACCCUGCUGUCUGGCUACUGGAAAAAUGCAAAUGGCGAUUGUAAUAACUGAAGAGGCAACUAUAACCCCAAAUUUCUUCAGAGACGUGAAGGCUUUUCCACUGAAUCCCAUGAAUAUUCUACCAGCUUUGAGCCCUAGAAUGUUACAGCUUGGAGCUUCCCUAGCCUGAUAGCCCCAUUGCAUACCAAAUGGAACUUCAGCCAAAGACAGUGACUACCCAAAGGCGAUCAAAAUUAGUGGUGAAGAAUCCUGGAGUUCUCAUUUUCGUUUCUAGGAAGCUGUAUGGAAAAUUCAAUAGGAAUGUGAAAAUGCAAACCUACUGACUAGCACCGAGUGAGGCCUGGAAAGGUGAAGUUCAUUUUCUCACCACGUAAAGUUGUUGAGAAGAUAAAUGACAUAAUGCCAGUAAAAUUGCUCAGAGCUCUUACAGACAGAAGCUUGAUUUAAAUGUGAGACAGUACUUAUUGUCUGAAUAUUAAAGAACCACCUUUCACAGCCUCAAGCCAAGCCUGAAGAAAAGAAUUGGGAAUUGUUGGACUACACAUCAUUUUACGCCAUUGAACUCAGAUGAUAAGAAGACCUCUCUUUAUAUAUAAUAAAUGAGUAUUGAAUGGAUGCCAAGCAGAUGUCAGUUUUACCAUUGUUUCUGCUCAAUAGGAAAGCUCUUCUAGACUUCCCGAUAUGGUACUACUCUCUUGAGAACAAAGUCUGAGACUACAGAGAGGAAGGACUGUGUGAACUUCUACUGCUGAGGAGCUAAGGCAAAAAACAAAAAUCAGUUACUUUGGACAUGAUAAGAUGUAACAAUAAACAUGGAACAGAGUGGCCCCAGGGAGAAAAUUGCAUUUCAAACAGCUCCUUCUGGACUCGCUAAUGGUUUGAUAGAAGACUUCAGCCCUGCCCCAAACCUGAUUGCAGCCAUGUGAGAUACUCUAAGGCAGAGAACCCAGCUAAUCGUGCCCAGACUCUUGAUCCACAGAG